GGAGGGGUAGCUCAGUGGCAGAGUACGUGCAUAGCAUGCAGGAGGUCCUGGGUUCAAUCCUCAGUACCUCCA
rnacentral:tRNA from 1 species